GGCUCAUCAUCUACCUCAUCAUCUGUUGUCGCACCAUCUUGCUUGUCUUGUUCACUGUAGUUGAUGUGCUCUCCGUUUGGCUCUUGGUCCUCCUCCUCAAGCUCUGGGCCAUCAACCAUGCUUCCUUUUAGCUGUAUCUCGUGGCUCCAAGACUCAUCAUCAGUUUUGUCAGCAUCUAUUGAACUGAUUUCAGAAUCAGUUACUUCGCACCAUGGCCUUUGGUCAGGUUCUAAAGUUUGGACUUCUUCUCCAUGAGUGAAACCUCUAUGCUCUGAGUCAUCUUGGUCUUCUGGCUCGGUGCUGUAGUCUCCUUCAUGAUAUUGAGACUCAGUUUUGUCCUCCCAAGUGUCUCCUUCAUGGUCACCUUCUAUAUCUUCUUCUCGGUCUGUCUCUUCAUCUCUAGACCAAGCUGAUUGAUUGGUGUUGUCUCUGUUGUAAUAGGGUGGCUCUGGCUCGUACUCUUCUCCAUCUGAAUCAUCUCCUACUCU
rnacentral:lncRNA from 1 species